UGCGUAGGCAGCAAGCGUUGUUCGGAGUUACUGGGCGUAAAGGGUGCGUAGGCGGCUUUUUAAGUCUGGUGUGAAAUCUCCCGGCUCAACUGGGAGGGUGCGCCGGAUACUGAGGGGCUAGAGUGUGGGAGAGGAAAGUGGAAUUCCUGGUGUAGCGGUGAAAUGCGUAGAUAUCAGGAGGAACACCGGUGGUGUAAACGGCUUUCUGGACCAUAACUGACGCUGAGGCACGAAAGCGUGGGUAGCAAACAGG
rnacentral:rRNA from 1 species